CCCCCUCAACAAAAGCCACAAAUCUUCCAAUAAAAAUAAAAAAUAAAAAACUCAUUUCCUCUCCUCUCCCCCUCCCCUCCCUCUCUCUCCCUCCCUCGCGACAACGAUGUCCGCUGAGAGACCGCUGCCCCCUUUCAUCGCCGCUCAGCUGUGCGAACUCCUCAACAACUCUCCUCUCCCACUCAAGGUCGAUCAAAUCUGGUCAGGCUGUAGAAAUUCCCACUGAAAUCAAGUCUGGUCAGUUAAGCGUGUGGGGGAUUUGGAUGAUGAGAGUUUAAAAUUUGAGACGGAUACCAUUUUAUCGAGGAAGCAUUGUCGUUGGGAAAUUGAACAUUUGUGGGUGGACAUCAAUCACGCUAACAUAAAAGGAAAUAUACCCAUUAGAACUAAUUGCAAAUGGACAAAAGAGUUCUCCUAAAAGAUCACUGAAGUUGAAAGAUGAAAGGGGUCAUUAAUGCAGUAAGAUGAGAAUUACUGUUCACAAUCUCUCAAGGAUAUCCCAUUUAUGUGAUCAUGUCAUCUGAGAAUGUGCCUUCAACUAUCAACAGAUUCCUCUGAGCUCUGUCACUUCGAUUAUUGAUGGCUUGAAGAAACUAUAUAUUGAAAAAUUAAAGUCAUUGGAAGUUACCUAUCAAUUUAAUGAUUUUGCUUCUCCUUUGCUGGGACUCAUAGAGGACUGGAGCCCACAACCGAUAGAUUUAUUGUGGUCAUGGUAAUGCUUUUAGUUUGUGUUCCUAUUAGUGGUAGUCCUAAUUUUUUGUCCAAGUAAGUUAUACAUUCAAUCAGAUAGAUCUUUUUUGUGAUUGAUGAAAUUAUACAGAUUCUUUUAAUGCGAUUAUAUUUUUUAUUUUCAUUACAUCACAAAAAUAGUAAAAUUUACUUGAGAAGGAUAUCUAGAAGAGCAUUAUUUCCAUAUUUCAUUUUGAUAUAUUUUAUUUUAGAGAUUACAAUAAUUUUUUGGCAGAAACAGAAAAUAGAAGGAGAUAAAUAGGACAGAUGAUAGUGCACAGGAAAGGAAGUGAUAAGUAUAAACAAACAUGGUCUAUUUUUCGAAGGAGUGAUAGCUUUUGUUUUUCAAGGUCAGAUCGGCAUUUUGGUAUCUGUCCGCUGAUCGUGUUUGCUAUUUCAGGUCUAUGUCAUGCUUGUGAGUUUUAGAUGCCACUUUCGUUCACCCACCUCCUGAAUGCUGCAAUUUGGGAAAACCUUGUAUUUUAGGAAUGUCCGAGAGAUCUCGCUGAUAUGCGGCGAAGCCGAUAGCAUUGUUUUACGAAUCAAGAGUACGUGUCGGCAACGAACAAAGUCUGUGAAAGGAUUGGAGUCACUGAAACCUGCACAGAGGAAUGCACAGAGGAAGGACUGCAUAACCAAGUUCUUCGAAAAGGCUGUAAAAAACUCAGUCUUGAUGUUGUUGGUUUUGUUGCCUUCUGAAAGCAUUGUUUUAUUUGCUGCUGCUUUGUUGGAACUUGUAACUCAAGUUUGCAUUGUUUUAUUUUUUCAUGAGAAGCAGUAUUGUAGUUCUGCACCUUAUAGUCUCUGCCUUUUUAUUUAGCUACUCCCGAAUCUUCCCUUUUGGUGAUCUUAUUUUCCUGUAUCAGAAUUUCCUCACCGCUUCCAGGGUUUCUCUGCAACAAUGUAAAAACUUUAGAUUCAUCAUAUAGUUUGUGUUCUUUCUUUUUUAA